rnacentral:rRNA from 1 species
GAUGAACGCUAGCGGCCGGCCUAAUACAUGCAAGUCGAGGGAGAAUGUUGGAUUCGUCUGACAUGAAACCGGCGCACGGGUGCGUAACACGUAUGCAACCUACCUUAUACUGGGGAAUAACUUCGAGAAAUCGGCGCUAAUACCCCAUAACACUGCGGAGAGGCAUCUCUUUGCAGUUAAAGCUCCGGCGGUAUAAGAUGGGCAUGCGUCCAAUUAGCUAGUUGGUGAGGUAACGGCUCACCAAGGCUACGAUUGGUAGGGGUUCUGAGGGGAUGAUCGCGCACGCUGGUACUGCGACACGGACCAGACUCCUACGGGAGGCAGCAGUAAGAAAUAUUGCGUGAUGGACGAUAGUCUGUCGCAUCCAUGCCGCGUGUAGGAUGACGGCCCUAUGGGUUUUAAACUGCUUUUGUACGGGAGUAAACCCUUCUACGUGUAGGAGGCUGAAGGUACCGUAAGAAUAAGCACCGGCUAACUCCGUGCCAGCAGCCGCAGUAA